ACGGGAGGCAGCAGUAGGGAAUAUUGCACAAUGGGGGAAACCCUGAUGCAGCGACGCCGCGUGAGCGAUGAAGUAUUUCGGUAUGUAAAGCUCUAUCAGCAGGGAAGAUAAUGACGGUACCUGACUAAGAAGCCCCGGCUAACUGCGUGCCAGCAGCCGCGGUAAUACGUAGGGGGCAAGCGUUAUCCGGAUUUACUGGGUGUAAAGGGAGUGUAGAUGGCAUGGCAAGUCAGAUGUGAAAGCUCGGGGCUCAACCCCGGAACUGCAUUUGAAACUGUCAAGCUGGAGUGCAGGAGAGGAAAGUGGAAUUCCUAGUGUAGCGGUGAAUGCGUAGAUAUUAGGAAGAACACCAGUGGCGAAGGCGGCUUUCUGGACUGUAACUGACAUUGAGGCUCGAAAGCGUGGGGAGCAAACAGGAUUAGAUACCCUGGUA
rnacentral:rRNA from 1 species